rnacentral:rRNA from 1 species
GAUGAACGCUGGCGGCGUGCCUAAUACAUGCAAGUCGAGCGAACAGACGAGGAGCUUGCUCCUCUGACGUUUGCGGCGGAGGGGUGAGUAACACGUGGAUACCCUACCUAUAAGACUGGGAAAUUUAGGGAAAACGGGCUUAAAUCCGGGAUAAACUCUUGAUCCGCUGGGUUGAUUGGAAAAAUUCGGCGGUUGGGGAUGUACUCGCGGCGUAUCGGCUGGUUGGUUAGGUAGUUGAGUACCAGGGUUAUGAAGGGUAGCCGGCGUGAUAGGGUGACAGGCCACACUGAAACUGAGACACGGUCCAGACUCCUACGGAAGGCAGCCGGAGGGAUUCUUCCGCAAUGGGCGGAAGCCUGACGGAGCAACGCCGCGGGCGUGAAGAAGGUCUUCGGAUCGUAAAACUCUGUUAUUAGGGAAGAACAAAUGUGUAAGUAACUAUGCACGUCUUGACGGUACCUAAUCAGAAAGCCACGGCUAACUACGUG